AAUUAGGACGUCUCCCAGGGAGGUCAUAUGUUCUAGCUGGUGCCUUAAGCAAACAAGAAAUAAGCAUGAAGCCUUUUUCCUCAUGGAAACAACCUUCCAUUUAAAUACAUACAAGAGGGGAAGUUCAAGGCAUGGAGGAGGGGGUGAGUUACCAAAAAUUGCCCCAGCGGCCCAGCAACAGAGGUCUGCCAGACAUUUCAUGUGCCAGCCCAGGCUCCCUCCACUCACCUGCAGCAGUACCACAGCAUCAAGCACAGAAACAAUGAGCUGAGGGAGUAAGAGGAAAGCUCUUCCUUUCUGAGCUGCUCCGUCUUUCUUUGGGCUGUUCCUCAGAAACAUUUCCCGGGGUGAAUCCACCAGCAAACAGCACCAGCGACCGCGGCUGACUCCCAGCUGUUGAUCUUGGACUGGAGGAGGAAACGCAAUCCUCUUUUGUGGAGGAUUUUGAGUCUGGUCAUUUUGGUACCAUUCCAAUCCAAACCUAAACCCAAGGAUUUCUGAAUUCUCCACGAAAGAGAGCACUGCCUUAGGGGGAAUGGGGCCUUGUGGGCUGUCCUAGAGCUGCAGGCCUCCAGCUGUGAAGGGGACCACAUGGUGGGCCCUCCCAAAGAUGCAGGGCCUGUGACUGCAGGCCUUGGAAGCGGGGCGAGCAUGGAGGUGUAACUUAACACUGAGAAAGACAGACAGGGCCUCCUGUUCAAGUAUGAAACAUAAACUGCAAAAUCCCAGCAGACUUUAAGCCUCCUGCUCUU